UUGGUUCCCCUCAUACCCAACCCCUCUCUCUCUCUCUCUGUCUCUCGCAAACCCUCUUGCUUUUCAAAGUUUGUUUGUUGGGUGAAAUUGCUUAGAUUUGGCCAAAAGUGAAGCUUUGAGAUUGUGAAUCUUUGAGCUUGGAAUUAAGUAUUGUGACUAGGAUUACCGGCGCCUGGUCAGGAGCACCCGGGGAUUUGGAAUCUCUACUAUUGCGGGACAUCAGUGUGCAGGAAAGGGUAAAGUUGUUUCUCAUCAGCCAUGAGUAUGGGAGCUGAACGAAGAAUGUACAUGUUCGGGCCACACUAGACCAAGCGGGUUGGGGUCUACCAGUGAUGUAUUUUGAGACUCUGUUUUACCGCUUAGGUCGGCCAAAAAAAAAGAACUUGUAAUAGUGUUUUGUAAAUACUUUUGGGAUCCCAACUUUUGUAACUUUUAAAUUAUUACAAGUUAUUUUCAUUCCGUUUAUUAAUAAAGUUUAAUUUCCACGCUUA